UUUUUCUUUAAAUCUACUCUCCUUGCUUCUAUUUCUCUUUUUUUUCACUAUCUAUUCUCGAGCUUUGACUGACUUAAGUAUCGAAGGAUCCUAAAUUAAAGGAUCCUCUCAUUAAUUUUAGGACUUUUUUUGCAGAUCUUUGGUAGGCUUUAGCAUUUUGAUUUUCUGCAGUAUUCCAGCUCGGUUCUUGAUCGACCUCGUCAUCUUAGCCC
rnacentral:lncRNA from 1 species